rnacentral:rRNA from 1 species
GAUGAACGCUGGCGGCGUGCCUAACACAUGCAAGUCGAGCGAACGGACGAGAAGAUCGUGCCCUUGAUGGUAGCGGCGGACGGGCGAGUAACACGUGGAUAACCUACUUAUUUGACGGGGAGAAUAUCGGGAAACCGGAGCUAAUAAUAGAGAAUACUUCGUACCGCUUGGUUCAAAAGUGCAUGACGGCUUGCCCGUUUGAAAUAGAUGGUGUCGGGUUGGAUUAGUUAGUUGGUAAGGUAACGGCCUACCAAGGCUACGAUGCGUAGCCGAGCUGAGAGGGUGAUCGGCCACACUGGAACUGAGACACGGUCCAGACUCCUACGGGAGGCAGCAGUAGGGAAUAUUCCACAAUGGGCGAAAGCCUGACGCAGCAACACCGCGUGGGUGAUGAAGGUCUUCGGGUCGUAAAGCUCUGUUGUUGGGGAAGAAAAGCAGUAGGUGAAUCCGUCGACGUCCUGACGGUACCUAAACAAAAAGCAACGGCUAACUUCGUG